GAAAUGCGAUAAGUAAUGUGAAUUGCAGAAUUCAGUGAAUCAUCAGAUCUUUGGACGCACCUUGCGCCUUUUGGUAUGCCGAAAGGCAUCCCUGUUUGAGUGUCAUGAAAUCUCAAUCCCCCCGGGUUUUCUGAACCCGAGGUGGACUUGGACAUGGGUGUCUGCCGUCUCGUACGGCUCGCCUUAAAUGACUCAGUGGGAUCUUCAGCAUCCGUUGCAGACGUAAUAAGUUUAGUCUCGUCCCUUGCUGCGUGGACCGCUCGUAACCUGCCAUCGCGCACCACUUUUGACUCUGACCUCAAAUCAGGUAGGACUUCCCGCUGAACUUAA
rnacentral:misc_RNA from 1 species